UAAAGCUGUGUCUACAGGGAGCCAGAGCACCAGCAGCGAGAGGAAUCCCUUGGAAAGGGGACAGGGCUGUCACACCUCUCAAAGGGGGACAAAGUAAACAAUCUCCAUGGCUUCCUGCCAGCCUUUUUUUUUUUUUUCCCCAGUGAUUUUUGGCUUUUCCAUCAGAACAAGACUGAGUUUUGAGGGACAUGAAGUAUGAUCUCCUCCAUAUCCUCCAGAUCUUCACUUCAUCAAACUGGUAGGAGCCUGGGAAAUAGGUGAAGAGGACCUGGGGUAGAGACACAGCCUGGAAAGCACCAAGUGACAUAGGUCUUCGUGCUCUGGGCACACGUCUUUUAAGAAGGCACCCCUGAGGUCACAAGGGGGAGGAGGUGGGGAAGAAGAUCCUCCAUGUCUGCAUCUGUCAGCCAAACACAUCCCAUCAGGCAGAAGACAGAAAACAUGAAAAGAGAAGCAUGUUCCCCAUUUCUCUUUCCACAAAAUCCAUCCAGAAUUCUCUACGUUAAUCAACAGCAUUAAGGAGGCUCUCACCUGCCAGGAAAUGCUGAACUUUGACUUCCAUGAGAAAACAGAAAUCUGAGCGUGUAGAUCUCAUCAUGUGAACACAUCCCAGCACGGACUUGCAUGAGCUCAUUACCUGUUCUCUCUGGAGCAAUGAAGCACAGCUUUCAAAUUGGUUUCCUGCAGUUUUGCCCUUUUUUUUUAGCCAUUUCAGAGUCUCACCCAAAUGGAUAAUAAAAGAAUGUUAUGACUGUGCAUGCAAAUAUAAUUUAAGGUAACAACUUUCUGAGCCUAUGUUUAGUUCAGGUACCGCCAGGGACACUUCUGUUGCCUGGCCAUUUCCCCAUUCUGCUGGAAAAGGUUAAGCUGAAGGGACAAUCACGAUUGCUAGGUUGGAUGGCUGAUGGAAGGGACAAAUAGCUUUGGAUACAUGUCUAGUCUUUUGGACAACUGACGGAUUGAAACCAUUUCAGGGAUAAUCAUUAUCAGCAUAUCAGAAUAAUUAGUCUCAUUUUCCGGUGGAUAACAGCUACUUACUACAGCUCAGCACUUUGUGGCACAAAGCCAUUUUUCUAGCUGUUUAAUGCAACCAGUCAUUGACCCUUCGGGGGUCUGCUCAGAGCUGUUCUGCAGCCCAGGCAAUUGGAUCAAAUGUAACUGCUCUGGACUGAGACCAAGAAAUUCCUCUGUAAGUGCUACAUGGGUGAACCUCUCCAAAAUGGAUUCCAGCGUGAAUACCAAGACCUGGUGCUCAGCUGCUCCAUGAUGUUGAAUGUAUAAACAAUUUAAAAUAACAGAGUGAAUGCUGUCGGCCAUGCUGUCUUUAAAAGCGGUCUUUUGCUGGGACAAAAGUAUUUUGGUUGACAGGGCUGGAGCCUGAGACCCUUAAUGUAUUCUCCAUAUGUAUAGAAUGUAAAGAAGUUGCAUUUCCCUAAAAUGCAGGAACUUCCAGGCUUGGCCUAGAGGGACCAACAUGACCAUAAUUCGGUGUGUCUGUAUCUGCUAGACUAAGAUAGGUUUUACCCCUGCACCUGAAGUGCCAAGGAUUUGUAAAGCACACAGGAAGUCUCAGGGCAUUUCCAGAUUCCACAUUGCUCUCAGAAACACUCAGUUCAUCCGCACCCAGGUAAUUGGGAAGCUAAGACCCUUUACAUAAGAGUUCGGUCACCAUCAUUUAUGUGUUUAUCCUUCAGUGCUGGUUGCUGAAACACAGGCUUUGAAGGGUAAAAAGUGGUAUACUUGGAAAGCCGUGAAUAUUCAUAAAUUGAAACUGGAGUUGUGACCCCAUCUUUUCACCAAGACAUCUAUCUACCCAAGAAAUUGGCUGCCUGCACAAAGGCAGGACGCUCCAAUAUUGACUCUUGAACACCUCAGAGACCAGAACUUGAUUUAUUCCAAGCGCAUCUUCAUGACAGUUAAUUGAAAUGUUUGCUGUACUUAUUAGCAACAAGAAGACAACUCAUGAACAGAGGAAAACAAGUCCUAGUCAUGGUACUCUCUUCCAUGGGUUCCACCAUAUGGAGAAUAUGAGACUUCUUUACGUCUUCCCAACUGGAAGCUUACCAAGAGCCCUGUCUCUCCCUGUCCGCUCUGCAAUCAUUUAGUAGGACUCUCAUUUUCAGAUUAGCUCUCUCUUCACUCUAAGAGCUCAUGAGAGAUAGUGCUACUCCUACCUGUGCUCUAGCAUGCAGACAAAAUUUCUCCAAGCAGGUUGCUUCACUUUCCAUUGACCUCCUUCUAUUGUGUGCUCCUCAAAGGGCUGCUUGAAGAAUCGGUGGAGGCAGAGUUACAAGUCAUCAACACUUUUCCUAGGCAUGUGGCUUUUGCCUCAAACCCUUCAUGUCUUUUGUAAUCUCAUAGUCUUUCAAAGUCUUUGAGCAAAGCUCCUGUUAUAAUGCCAUUACUGUUGUGUUGACUGGCAGCUUGUUGCGGCUCUGCAUUGCUCAUGUGCCCUCUUUCUUAAAGCUUUCCUAUCUUGAGCCAAUUAAUAGAUGAUGCUUUUUCAAAGGCAUCUCAGCCUUGACAUUAACCCUUGUAAGUGGUCCUAACACUGUCUGUAACUAUCUUGAGCUUCACCUCCUGUGUGCUGAGACUGUCAUUAUUUCAUAUGGAGUGGUUUCUUCUGCAAAUUGCUCCCAUGUAUUUGACUAUUUAAUAGUUAUUGGCUGUACACUGAAGGGCUCUUAUAAGUUCUCUAUUGUUCUCCACUGGACUGUGACAAUCUCUACGCUCCAGCUUAUCAGCCUCUGUGAAAUGACACUAUUUCAUAUUACGUUAAUAGGCAUAAAUGCAUGGUUCAAUAUGAAAGACACCCCAAAUUUCGAAGUGUCAGGCUCAGUCUAUUUGAUUAUCUGUAAAAGGCACAGGCAGCUUUGCAAUGGAUUAGACAUAGUGCUCUCCUUUGGAAGCAAAGUCACGAGGGUUACCUAAAAUCUGCUCAGAAAUGGGUGCUCAGAAAAGAAAUAUGGUUAUCCCUUUAGACUACACUAAACAUGCUGCCACAGGAUUCCUAAAAUACUUUAGAUUAUAGUCUUAUCUUAUUUUUCUAUGGAGGAACUUUACAUAUCUCGAACUCAGCAAAUAUAUAGUUUACUUAGAUUAGUUACUCAUUAACAUAACAUCCCUGUUUUCAUUACCAGUAGAGUCAUGUGCUUGAUAUCACACUGAAGUCUGAGAAAGGCUGCAAUUUCAGCAUAGUCAAACAUAAUUGAAAAACAUUGCAUGGUUGUGGUUCACAGUUAUUUGCUUAGUUUAAAUACACUCUGCUAAGUAGA